CACGUACGCAAUCUACCCAAAACUGAUGAAUAGCCCUCCGAAAGGAGGAUUAAUACAUCGUAACCUAAUUGAAGUGGCAUCACUUUAUUAUAUAGCUCCGGCGGUUUUGGAUGAGCGUGCGCUGAUUAGGUAGUUGGCGGGGUAAUGGCCCACCAAGCCUGCGAUCAGUAACUGGUGUGAGAGCACGACCAGUCACACGGGCACUGAGACACGGGCCCG
rnacentral:rRNA from 1 species